CCCCGGGCCCACGCGGCCAUGAACCUGGAGCAGCUGAGGAAGCAAGUCCGGCAGUACCUCGACCAGCAACAGUAUCAAAGUGCUCUAUUUUGGGCAGAUAAAGUAGCUUCACUGUCUCAUGAGGAGCCCCAGGAUGUGUAUUGGUUGGCUCAGUGCCUGUACCUGACAGCUCAGUACCAUAGAGCAGCCCAUGCACUGCGGUCACGGAAGCUGGACAAAUUACAUGAAGCGUAUCAUUACCUUGCAGCUAGAUGCCAUUAUGCUGCGAAAGAGCACCAGCAGGCCCUUGAUAUUCUCGACAUGGAGGAGCCCAUCAACAAAAGACUAUUUGAAAAAAACUUAAAGGAUGAAAGUGGCUUGAAAGACUCCCCCAAUGACUGGGAAGUGUCAGAGUCCUCAAUGAGGAAAGGAAACUAAGGCCGAGAGAGGUUCAGUCACUUGUCCAAGGUUACAAAAAAAGAACUUCUUGAAUCGCUGCCUCUUAGCAAGCUCUGUACUGAAGAACAGGAAUUGCUACGUUUUCUAUUUGAGAACAAAUUUAAAAAGUAUAAUAAGCCUAGUGAAACUGUCAUCCCUGAGUCAGUAGAUGGCUUGCAAGAGAAUCUGGAUGUGGUAGUGUCUUUAGCUGAGAGACAUUAUUAUAACUGUGAUUUCAAAAUGUGCUACAAGCUUACUUCUGUAGUAGCGGAAAAAGAUCCUUUCCAUGCAAACUGUUUACCUGUGCACAUAGGGACGCUUGUGGAGCUGAAUAAAGCAAAUGAACUUUUCUAUCUUUCUCACAAACUGGUAGAUUUAUAUCCUAGUAAUCCUGUCUCUUGGUUUGCAGUGGGAUGUUACUAUCUCAUGGUUGGUCAUAAGAAUGAACAUGCUAGAAGACACCUCAGCAAAGCUAUGACACUGGAGAAGACCUAUGGGCCUGCAUGGAUAGCCUAUGGGCACUCGUUUGUGGUGGAGAGCAAGCACAACCGAGCCAUGGCCGCCUACUUCAGGGCAGCGCAGCUAAUGAAGGGGUGUCAUUUGCCAAUGCUAUAUAUCAGAUUAGAAUAAGGUUUGACCAAUAACUCAAAACUUGCUGAAAGAUUCUUCGGCCAAGCUCUGAGCAUUGCACCCGAAGACCCUUUUGUGAUGCACGAGGUUGGAGUGGUUGCCUUUCAGAACGGAGAAUGGAAAACAGCAGAAAAAUGGUUUCUUGAUGCUUUGGAAUAAAUUAAAGCCAUUGGGAAUGAGGUGACAGUUGACAAAUGGGAACCCUUGUUGAACAACUUGGGGCAUGUCUGCAGAAAACUUAAAAAGUACGAUGAGGCCUUGGAUUACCACCGUCAGGUGUUGGUGUUAAUUCCUCAGAACGCAUCCACCUACUCUGCCAUAGGCUACAUUCACAGUCUGAUGGGCAACUUUGAAAAUGCCGUGGACUAUUUCCACACGGCCCUUGGUCUUAGGCGAGAUGAUACAUUUUCUGUUACAAUGCUUGGUCAUUGCAUUGAAAUGUACACUGGUGAUUCUGAAGCUUAUAUUGGAGCAGACAUUAAAGACAAAUUAAAAUGUUAUGACUUUGAUGUGCAUACAAUGAAGACACUAAAAAACAUUAUUUCACCUCCCUGGGAUUUCAGGGAAUUUGAAGUAGAAAAACAGACUGCAGAAGAAACGGGGCUUACGCCAUUGGAAACCUCAAGCAAAACUCCAGAUUCCAGACCUUCCUUGGAAGAAACCUUUGAAAUCGAAAUGAAUGAAAGUGACAUGAUGUUAGAGACAUCCAUGUCAGACCAUAGCACAUGA